ensembl:miRNA
UUACAAUUAAAGGAUAUUUCUUGCGAUUGAAUAUGAGACGGAAAUUUCCCUUAAUUGUUUGGC